UCCCCGGGCCCCAAGUUCUCGGCUCCUCGCGCCCGCUUCGUGGCGCCACGCAGGGGUUCCGUCAUCUGUGGUUAAUCAGUUAAGACCUCUGGGAGGCCUGCCCUUUGGAGGUGAGGCUGGGGAAGGCAGGAGUCUCGUGAGCGCAGCGAGCCAGGGUGCGGGGCUUUAUUUGCAAACCAUUAGAACCGAGCGAGCAGGGUGGUGGCUUAGGACGGCUCGAGGAGUCCGUCCCACACGCCCUAAAGAGUUUUCGCCGGUGACUCGACACCGCGCAGCGCGGCCGCGCUCCAGGCGGGGGUAAGGGGACAAGGGGAGGGUAGGCCGGCACCCGCUAGGCCAGCAGGGCACUUUGUCCGGCGUGCGCGGCGUCCUGCCUCGCAGUUCUGAACCCAGGACAGAACAUCAGCGUCAGAUCACCUUUUCCAAAAACUUGUUGCGUGCAUUUAAUCAAGUUUACUUUCCGUGCCCUCAGCGUGAACUUUUCCCACCUCCAUUCGCAUCCCACGACGCCCCCCCCCCCCGCAGGCCUCCCUCCUCUGAAGUCUUUGGCCCAAGGCUCAGCAACUAGAGCUGUUUAGUUCCCUUCCUAAUAUCCAACUGCCGCCCCCCCCACCACCAAAGGAUCCGGGUUAUCCGCUCCAUUAAUAUAUUAGCCAGGCAUAACAAAAGGACGCGCGUGUCGGCAGAAGGCAAUGUGACUCCAGGGAGAGGUGAGGAAACCUGGCCGGUGCCCUGCACCGCAGCACGGCUCAUUGCAGUUCGAGCUCGUGAGGCGGCCUCCACCUUAGGCAAAAGCGGUGAAAGACGCGGUGGGAGUUGGCGCUGUGGGCCCAGCAGAUGCUGACUUAAGCGUUUGUAGCUGGGCUAUGGGAAUGAAAACGCUCAAGGCUCCCAGGUGGGACCCAGAGCUAGGGGGAGCGUUCCAAACACGCGCCAGUCACCUGAAUUGUGCAAAGAGAAUCAGAUUUCUAGGCAGGAGUGUAGCACUAGAUAGGAGUCUCCUCCCUCCCUCGUGCAUAAUGGGUCCUUAAAAUUAAAUAUAUAAAUGAAACAAACCACCACAAAACCCUUACAUUCUUCUCAUUAAAUUGCUUAUGUUUUAAAAUAAUAGUUCUUCGGUGUGAGAAAAAGAAAAAAAAAACUGACCUGGGACAUGAUUAGACAAGCAGAGGAGUAACUAAAAUUUCAUAGGAGAGAGGGGAAAGAAAGAGAUUUCCAACUGAAUGCAUUGUUCCCUGUUUCCAAGCUGUGUUGGGGGGUGGGGAGGAGUGUAUUCCCAGUUUGUUUUUUCUGGGUUUCAGGGAUUUUUCUUUAAAAGCCUCUGAUGUAAUCUUCAGGAAAAGAAGUAGAAAGUCAACCCAGGGAAAGCUCACACUUAGAACUCUGAGUCAGGCCUGCCCUAGUGAGGAUCAUUCUGGACUUGAUCUUGAUAUGACUUGACUUGCAUCCCACCUGAAUUCCAAGGUCCUCAAGCAGGUGUUCCAUUUAAGCCCUUUCUUUCCAGAUUUUGGGGGAGAACAUUCUGCUUCUAUACUCUACAUUGAGUAGAACAUAGAGAACACCAAAAUAUCAUAAAGUGGUAUCUAGAUGGAGGGAUGCUUCUCACUUUCUGGGGCUAUGGGGGUGGGGGGUAUGCUCCAUGAGCUUUGCUCUUACACUGUGUAGUCACUGCUGACCUAACUAGAGAAAUGAGGAAGUUAGAAAAAAGAAAGGUAGCAAGUGAGGAUUUCCCCCCUGUCAGAUUAAAAAAAAAAUGUUUAUAGUAGGAAAGUGCAAGCCUUUUACAAGUUAAAGUUGAAAUGGAUGGGUAUUUUCCAGUUCCAUAUUGCUUGCUAGAAUGAUGACUGCAGGUGGCAGUGGGAAGGUGAGGGCUACAGUCUGAGCUGUCCAAAGUUCAAUGAACCAAGCUAGACUGGGAGCUAAAAGAGAAACACCAAUGAAACCAUUAUGGUCUUAAACGUAACUAUUUGGAAGAGGGUUUUUUUUUUUUUAAAAAAAAAAGGAACUUUCAAAGCAAUCUGUUAUUAAAUGUUAUUUGGCUACAUCAAAUAGGAUCAGCGGUAGAAAAAAAAACUUGCAAAAACGGCUGCUUUAAAAACAAAAACAAAACCCCUUCUAUCUCACCAAAUAGAUUCUAUUUCUAAAUGGGAAGGUUGUAAAAUCUUCCAAGUUGUUUCAUUUUAUUACAUUCUUACGCUCGUGAAUUUCUAUUGACGUUGAUGAUUCUGUUUGAGAAAAUCUUAUUUCUAAAUUUCAGCAUAAUUUGAUGACCUAAUUCAGCCCAAGAUAGCUCACAAAUAAUCAACUUUUUGCACAUAAUUAUCUUGAACUAAUUAGACAUUAUCUUAACUCCACUUAGUUGCAAAACACAUUUUACUACAAUCCAAAUAAGCAAUUAAGAUCUAAUUUUUGAAAAUAAAAUAUUUUUACAAAUUUAUUAAAUAAUUUAAGUAAUUUUAUCUUUUCAAUGAGGCUUUCCUCUUGACAUAUUGAGGUAUCACAUUAAAAUACAUUAUAGCUAAAUGUUCCGCAAUAUUACUGCUAAAUCAACAGAAAACCAAUUGAUCUCGAGGAAAGGUUAAUUAAUUUGGGCUACUGGUCUCCUACUUUGGUCUGCAUUGAAAGGAAUUUGUAUUGAUCACAGAAAUUUUUUGCAAAGAAACUUAAGCAUUUUUGUGCAACUGAGAUCAAUUUUUUAAAGUGUUAAAACAACAAGAUUUUCUCCCAUUUUAUCACUCCAGGAGCUCUUUUCUGCUGUGGCUCAUUCGAAUCUGUUAGACUCCAGAGAAAAGUCAUAUUUUUUUAUACUUUCAGUGAAAUCAGUCGAGUGCUCCAGGCUUCAGAAAAUGAAAAAAAAAAAAAAGAAAGAAAGAAAAUGAAAACAGAAGUUAAGAACUUUCGUAGGAUUUUGUUUGUUUAAUCCAACUCUUCCAUUAAUAAUUCUCACCAGCUUAUUCUGCUAUAAAGAGUUCACGAAGGGACAAUGGGAAUUACAUUUUGUCUGUGACGUAAACACUGUAGCAGCCUUCCUGUAGGAAACAGGCCGGCUGCCUUCCACUUGGGAACACUUCUAAGUAGUGUCGCUUCUGCUGAGCUUUCCCCCUCUCUGCGUUUAGUCGUCUUCUCUUUUUAUCAAUGUAAAAAAUGUGUCAAGCCUGGAACAAGUGUGGAGUGGGGCGAUCAAAGUAAAGACUGUCCAAGUUCAAGCCCUGGCGAGGAUGGAGUUCAUACACAAGGGCUCAGGCAGGCUGGCCUCUGCUUGGGCUGGUGUUGUUAUUGUUGAUGUCAAUCCGAACAAGACUUACAAAGAAAUAGGUGGACUGGAAAGUGAGCCUACUAUCAAAGGAGAUUAAUGAUUUUGUGAUCUCAAGCAACUGUAGGGGUGUGAAGUUGCAUUUAAAAGCUUCUUAGAAGGCAAACAAAUCAUCAGCUUUAAGUUCUCAGGAAUGAUAUUUUUAGAAACAGUAUUUUUAAAAGUGGCUUCACAAAAUACAAAACAGCAGCUACCCCGAAAUGUCCUGGUGGCACAAAGCUUCCCCUGCAGGAGUGAUUUAACUCGACUCUCCCUGGCCCCCUCCAAAGCUACCGUGAUGGUUAAGUUUUGUUUCUCUUUUAGUGAAAAAAAAAAAAAAAAAGAGUUCAGGAUUCUCUAUUG